UUGGGUUCGGACUAAGAGGUGAUAUAAAGGCAUACGUUGCAUUCACCUGGUUUAACUUACCUGGAAGAUCGAAGAUCGAACACGACAAGAAGAAAGCUCCCCGAGCCUUACUGGCUAAAACCAUCACACGACACCACACCACUCUCCAACGUCAUGGUUGGUUGGGUCGGUGUUGGUAAUGACAACUGUCGUUGUAUUGGCUAACUAAAACAGGGAGAAUAUGACUCUUCGAUGACACGUAACAUCAUUAAUUGGCAGCUGUCAAUUACAUCAGUACCGUCGCUUUUUUUGCAAUCUCAUGAAGUAAUGGCGAUCACUUGAUCGAAUUCAUAUUCGAAGUAUCGGUAAACAGAAUGGAAAGAAUUACUCGUAUCGAACCAGAAUUUUUACCACCCACUGUCCUGGUAUAUAUAUAUAUAUCAAUUGUUUUUCACCGGAUACAAUAACACGGAUCAUCAACUUACUUAUGAAAAAUUUAAUACUUGGUAUAAAUCAAAUUGACGAUUGGAAAUUAAUCGUCAAACGUUUAUCCAGAUUAUAAUCAACAAUAUGAUCCUAAUUGUAUUGAUGUUUGAAAUCAAGUUACGGUGUCUUCGUACAAAAUCUGAAAAUAUCAUGGAAAGUAUUACGUUUUACGAGUAUCAACGCGGAAAAUAAUGAAUGUAAAAUUAACCAGGAUUUUCAUCACGAUCAAGACAUCUUCCAGGGAGGUUCCUCGUCGAGUACCGGUCAACGAAUCGAAUCCCAUUUGCUUUUAGAAAUUUCUAAAACGUAUGUUAGAUCAUAUCAUUUUGAAUAUUGAUGCAAUGAUGUAAUUAGUAUCGAUUUAAUUGAAUUUUUAAAUUGUUCCGAUUAUGUGAAACAAGACAAAAAAAUUGAUUCGUUGACUGGUCACUCGGUUUCAUCAAGAAAUCUAAAAUCGGCAAAUCUUCCUUUUCCUUGCUUUACUAUUAUUGUUUUGAACUCUGACUAUUCCCGAAAAAAAACAAAACAUUAUUCUAUCAUUCUCUAUCCAAAGGAAUCGUUUUUACUCGCUCGGAAUAGUUGAACCUUCUCGACAAACCUAACGUUCUGUGAUAGCCCUUUUCUCGCUUGUUUAUCGAUUAUCAAGUAUUUCGUAAUUUAAUUGAUUUUUUUUCUCUUUUAAAAAUUAUAAAAUCGAUGAAAUUACUUGAUCCUUGAUAAAAACGAUCAUCCACUAUGAUUUAUAAACAAUCUUUGCUAAAUAAUUCUCAAUUCUUUUACUAUACUUUAGUCACGUCAAUCUAUUUUUUCUUUUUUGUUUUAUUUGUCUAUCACCUCAUCUUUUUUCUUUUUCUUGACCGCCUUGCAAACAAGAUUUGUAAAUCUUUAUGAAAUUAUUCUCAGCUCUCUUGCUAUACUUAAGCUACGCCUAUCUCUAUUUCAAUUUUUUCUAUCCUUUCAUUUCUUUCUUAUUCUCGCUAAAUUCUUUCUUUUUUAUACUAAAUUUUUGCAAAUUUCUCUUUCAUGUGCAGCAUCUUAACUUUUUCUUCAUUUUCUUUUCUUCUAAGCUGUAUGUACCUAUUUACUUACUUACUUACUUAUCUUAUCUUAUUUUAUUUUCUAUAAGGAUCUCUACUUUUAUUUCUUUUACUUUAUCUUUCGUUGCCAUCAACAUAUCAGUAUUAUCAGAUUCAAGAUUUCUUGAUUAAUCUUGCCAAUGUGUAAAUUUUCAUUUCGAUAUUAUUUUCUACUAUUUUCUCUAUUUACAUUUUCUUUCUCAACUUCUUCCUCCUCUUCUUUCUUAGCUUUAUUUUCUAUUCUUUUUGCGUGUGUAAAAUUUCCUUUGAAGAUCUCUAAAAUACGUUUCUUCUUUAUAUCUAUGUAUUCAUUUUUUCAUUGUAUUAUAUGAACUUUUAUUUCUUUACUACUGUACCUGAACACUAUCGCUUCGAAUAUAUUAGGUAAUUAAAUAUAAAACGUCCGAUUAUUUCGAAUAAUUUCAUUCCGUAAAAUCAAACAUUUCAUAUUUAAUGGCCUAAUAUUUAUCCUAUUUUUUUCUAAUUACUUUUUAAAUUUUCUAAUAAUUACUUUUAUCGUCACGUCAAUUCCUGAUCUCGUUUCUAUUCUGUGUUCUCUACUAUUUUACUUAUUCUUUUCUUUCUUUACAUUAUGUUUUUUUUAAACUAUUUUUUCUUAUAAUACAUACCAUUAUAAAUAUAAAACUUCUAU